CGCUGGUUGGCUGCGGUUCGAUGAGGUGAGGGAGACCGGCUACUCCAUCCCCGUGUCCCCUCGAUCCUCUUCGUGCUCCCAUUCGUUCCUGGCAGGAACCCUAGCCGCCGCCCCAUCCCCGCGUACCUAGCUCCAGCCCUCUCGCCGACGGCGCCGUCCGCGUCCGCGCGCCUCUGCCCUCCCCUUCCUUCUCCGCACUGGCCGCCUCCAUCUUCUCUCUGUCACCGUCUGACCCAGAUGCGGCCGCGGUCCGCUGCCGCCUUAGGCGGAGGAGAGUAGAGACGCGGCUAGGAGGAGCACGAGCCACCGCCACCACCUACCUGACGACGACCAGAGACGGACGGCGUCGCCGGCGGCGUGAACCCACGCGAGCCCAACAGGGUGUGCGCGUGCCUCCGCGGGUUCGCGCCGCGGUCGCCGGAGGCGUGGGCUCCGCCUCCGCGGGUCAACCGCGUCAGGUGCGUCGGCUCCGCGCCGCUCGACUGCCGCAACGGCAAGCUGCAAGGUCCCCGUCACGACGGCCGCCGUGGUAGACUUCCGUGCCAUCCUCGCGGACUGCACGCCGAGGUGCCUGCGUGGCUGCUCGUGCACGGCGUACGCUAGCGCCAAGCCCAGCGGCGCGGCAUGGACCAGCACACUCGAGGAUCUCCGCGCUUUCCUCAACUUCAACCGGGACUUUAUGUGUGUCUUGCCGCUGCAGAUCUUGGAGGAUAGCUUGGUGCUCCCGCAAGCAAUUUGGGCUUCUAUCUUGAUCGUUACUCUGUUCCAUACACUAAGAAGCGUGAAGUGUGCCGGUUGCCACUCGCGUUGCUGCUCUCCCUGGAGGCGUCGUCAUCGACUGGAGGAGUGUCGAAUCAUCGUCCUUGAGUUCAUGCACUUCAGGAAGAAGACGGCCUGAGGUGAGACGUCACGCAUCCGUCAUGCGAAGCUAGAGCUUGACAUAUAGGUCAGUGUGUGUGUGCAGCAGCUCCAGAGGGACCAACGUCGAGGUAGCCACUGCUCCUGUCUAGGCUAGCCCGUCGUAGGUACGUAUCAGGUCCCUAGACCCUUAUGAGCCCUAAUUUUCAUGAAGCAAGGUGCAGCCUGCUGCUUUUGCUUUUGGUAAAAAGGAAUCCCUAUUGUUAUGAUGAUAGCCUCUUUGCAAGUUUAUUCUGCCUUUUUGACAUUUUUUUUCUAUCUUGCUAUGCAUUGUAUCAUAUUACAGUUGCGUGCUCAAACCAACUAAGCUUAAUUCACGUAUAUAGAUAUUUAAGAAUGUGGGAUGAUGCCCAAUUGGAAAGGUUUGCAAUAUUGUAGGAAUCAUUUGGAGAUGGGUUGUAGAUAUUAAGCUAUGAAGGAGAUGAUUUUGAGGUAACAAGCCUUCAGCUUGCUUUCUGUUAACCUUUUUAUGCAUGGGUUCGAUUUGAUGCAAUCUAGGCAUUGUUUGUUGUCGAAUGGAUUAUUUUUUCCUUCUAGGUAACAUCUGAUACUUAGAAUGCAUUAUUUCUGAUGGCCCAGAAAAAACUCUGUGUGCAUAUUGUUCUGUUUAGAUGCAUACAAGAUGCAUGUUUGUGCCUCAUACCUGCUGAUUUGUAUGACUGAGGAACUCUCUUUCUUCCUAGAUGUGGCCAUAUGCUCUUCACUGAUAUAUCAUCUCCUUACUCUUGUAUAUUAUUCACAUAUAGCAUCUCAUUUCUUGGUUGAUUGCUUAUAUAUAUUCAACUUCUGUUUCCUGGCAUUCAUAUAUUACAAGCUAAAUAAAGUUUGCCAUUCCUUUUGGCCAUUUAUAGUUGUAACUAGAAGCAUGGAUGAUCUGUGAUGCUGGCAAUUGUCAGAUUGCACCCAUUUAAUUAUAGCACAAUAUAUCACAUUUGUGGUAAAUUUAGCUAAGCUUGUGCCUACCCUUUUAGUAGUCAAUAUGGUUCAGAUCCAGUAUUUUUUAUUUCCUUUUCUUUUUUUGCUUUCAGCACACAUAUGGCAUUAAAGUUCUUUAUCAUGUAUGUAGGCAAAGUAGUUGUGUCACUUACUGAUGCUCUUAUGGUACACAGUACACUAUUAAGCUGUUGGGCCCAGAAACAGGAAGAGUAAUCCUCUUCCAAGGUUAAUUUUGUGCCUACUUCUUUAUGUACAUAACUCAUGAUUUGACAAAUAGUUAAGUUCCCUAUAUUUAUUUAUUUCUUUCUCUUUCGCUUUCUCUUUCCUAUUUAUGGUUCUGGAACAAAACUGCUAUCCUUUUCUACAAAUUGGAACAGAAAAUAAUGUUGACAAAUGAUUAUAACGGCUUAUUUAUUUUCUUGGUGUUAGAUUACUAAUGUGGAGAACUAUAAUUUUUAUUGAUGGUCGCUUGAUGGCGCUCAUUAGAAUUCAUAUAUGAAUCAAUAUAUUCUUCCACUCUAAUUAGCAUGUUUGGUCUAUUUAAUUUCAAACAUAUCUAUUAUUCACCAAGGCGACUGCCUAAUUUCAUAUGUGUUCAUAUGCAGAAGGUAAAGAUCGUCUAUUAUCGGCGGUUAUUUUACUUAGUUGUAGAUACUACUGAAUAGUUUGCUUAAAAUUUUGAUAGUUUAAAAGAAGUAUUAUGGUGUAGUGCAGUAAUAAUUUUAUUUAAAAUUGCAGACCUUGCAUCAUAUUUUGCUUGUGUAUGUGGGCAGUGUGUUCAAGUUGAUCUGGAACAAUUUGAAGGGUUUCCUCGACACAAAAUCUUCAGCCAAGAGGCCCACUUGGAUCCAGCCUUUCCAAUCUGCAUGAAUCUUCCUAAUUCAGCAAGGCCUUCAAACCUCGAUGCUUCUAAAUUUGUGAGCUAAAUGCGUUGUGACCGGCAUACUCGCGCCAAGGCGCGUUUCCGAUCUAGUAGAAAACGCCCAGAGGAAGGGCAGCUAUUGUCUCAUGGGUUCCAAAGAAGAUGGACCUGUGCGCGUGCGAUUGAGAGGGACAACCAAUGGCAGAAAUCAGUACCAAGGCCCGGAAGCAAUCCCUUCAAAAGUCACACUCGGCACUGAAAGGCAAGAUUGACCCAAUUAAGCGUACCAGGAGGAAAUUUUUCAAGGCAAAUCAUGACUUUAUAGGUUAACAGUGUUCAGGCAAAUCACAUGAGACACAAACAACCACUCGAAGUGGUACAAUAGAGUCUCAACCAAUGCUCUCAUUUGGCAAACAUGUACGGCCAAUUUAAGUUGACUCAUGUGCAACAGAGUUUGCAUUACAUUUACAAACACUAGCUCACUGCUUAGAGAACCACAUUUUCAACUGAAAUUUAUUAUCUUCAAUUGCAGCAACAUAAGAUGAGGAGUGUGCCUUCCUCAUAUCCAUGGCUGUAGCUAGAAGUUCAGAGUCUAUCUCACACACCACUCUAAUUGCUCCCUCGAGACAUCUAAGUAUCCAACCCAACUGCGAGAAGUUUAGCACUCAAAAAUCGAACAGCAAGAGAGUGGAGCGCGUGAGAGCACAUCAAGUGUGCAUUCAUGAUUUCUCUAAAUGUAGCAUAAUACAACUACUCAUUUGCUAUACUUUUCCAUGGAUGGGUUCAGACAUUCAUGAAGAAGGCAUAUAAACCGGUUUAUUUGGAAAUC